UACGUAGGGUGCAAGCGUUGUCCGGAUUUAUUGGGCGUAAAGAGCUCGUAGGCGGUUAGUCACGUCGGAUGUGAAAACUCAGAGCUUAACUCUGAGCCUGCAUUCGAUACGGGCUGACUAGAGUGUUGUAGGGGAGACUGGAACUCCUGGUGUAGCGGUGAAAUGCGCAGAUAUCAGGAAGAACACCGGUGGCGAAGGCGGGUCUCUGGGCAACUACUGACGCUGAGGAGCGAAAGCGUGGGGAGCAAACAGGAUUAGAUACCCGCGUAGUCC
rnacentral:rRNA from 1 species